UUCUCCUUGUUCUCAUCGUCCUCAGGAGGAGGAGGGUCAUCUUUGUGAUGAGUGCACCACUGAAUCACCUGGGAAAAAAAUGUGUGCAGGCAAACACAAACACAGGCAACUUUAAUCAAGGAACAGACAAUUUCCUGCCAGCCUCUCUGCACAAUUUCCACAUCGCUCUCCAGUGGGGUCUACAUUAAGAUGCUACACAGUGAUUACAACACAACCCCCAACAUCACCACCAUAAUCUCUCCAAGGAAAUAAACCCUGGUAUGUGUU